UGCAAAUAAUAAUAAUAAAUCUGUUUUUUCCCAAAGCAGAGAGAAUAAAGGUUAAUGGACUGGAGAUGAUGUGUGACGGACCGGAUCUGAAGAUUCAGAAACAACUGAACAACAAAAACCAGGAGAACAGAGAGAAAAACUCACAAUCUAAAGAAUUAAAGAAGAAAAGAUCCAUGAUGUUUCAUCAACAGGACAGUGUGGAUCCAAAAAGACCAAACUUUUGUCAUGAUGAAGCUGUAGAGAGUCAUUCACUGACAGAUGAAAUAUAAACCACUGACAGAAACUACUGACGUGUGCAGCUGGAACUGAUG